rnacentral:misc_RNA from 1 species
AGACUCAACCUUCCAGGUUUCUUGCCUGGCCGGUUGGACUUGGGCGUCUGCCGCUUUACUGCUGGCUCGCCUCAAAUGCCUUAGUGACCUACAAGGGGAACUGUGCCCGGCGUAAUACGUUUCGCUAGGCCUGCCUCACAAGGGUUGCUCACAACCGCCUUGACUGGCAACUACUUUUGA